rnacentral:rRNA from 1 species
GACGAACGCUGGCGGCGUGCUUAACACAUGCAAGUCGAACGGAAAGGCCCCUUUGGGGGUACUCGAGUGACGAACGGGUGAGUAACACGUGAGUAACCUGCCCUUCCCUUCGGGUUAACUUCAGGCAACUGGGGCUAAUACCGGCUAGGAAUCCUUGCUGCUUGGUGGGGGUUGGAAAGCUUCGGCGGUUUUGGAUGGACUCGCCGCUUAUCAGCUUGUUGUUGGGGUAGUGGCUUCCCAAGGCUUUGACGGGUAGCCGGCCGGAGAGGGCGACCCGCCACAAUGGGGACGGGAUACGGCCCAGACUCCUACGGGGGGCAAGAGUUGGGAAUAAUGCAAAAUGGGGGGAAGCCUGAUGGAGCCAAGCCGCGGGCGGGAUGACGGGCCUUGGGUUGGAAACCGUCUUCAGGAGGGGAGGAGGCUGUGGUGACGGUACCUGCAGAAGAAGCACCGGCUAACUACGUG